UGCUACUGGCUACAUACGGUGGCUACGUUUUGCGCGGGUUGCUAUGUUCCAUGCUCUCUUAACCAAUCAGCAGGUUUAUUGUGCUGCACUAAAGUAGCGGACCGUGGGUGAACUUGGCUCUAAAGAUAUAGCUUGUCAUGCCUUGGACAGCCGAGAGCACAGCGUCGAAGGACGAAGAUGACUUCUGGGUCGAGGAAGAAUACGUUCCCACACCUCCAAAAUCAGCCUAUGACUCUAGGCACUGCAACGACCAUGACAGGAGAUCUCGCAGGAGCCAAAGCCAAACUUGCCGACAAGGCGGCCGUCAGUUAUCAGGUUGCAUGCACAAUUGGAGGCAAGGUCCUGAUAAAGGUGCAGAUACUGAGCUCAUGGUUGUUCCUGCAAAAGAAAUUGGCAGGAUCAUUGGUGAGUGUGCUUAUUUCUUGCUGUGACAUAAAUGAUACUUGGGCCCAAGAUCAGUUAGGAGGCUAUGCAGCAGUCAAGAGCCUUUCACGCGCAACCAUAUUUGCUCAGUCGACCUCCCAAUGUC